rnacentral:lncRNA from 1 species
CCUGUGGCCUGCUGUCCCUGGCUUAGCCCUGCCUGCUUCCACUCAUUCUGACAUCAGGGUGCAGCAGAGAGAGAUGGCAGGGGGUGGGGGAGCAGCUUCUGCCAUCUGGGAACUCCACAGAGGUCAGAAGUCACUGUGAAAUGGGCUGGAGGCUGUCAUGAGACUGUCCUUCUCGCUGAGGCCAUGCGUAAGACCCCUCCUGUCGGAUAGGGAGCCUCGAGAUCUCUUCUGCCUCAUGGACUCUAACCGCAUCUCUCUGACGUUAUGCUUUUCUAUUAACAAUACAUUGAGGCUACUUCUGUUCCUGCCCAGAGGCACGAGCAUGUGUCCUCAAACCCAACGACUGAUGUCCUCUAUGGCUACUCCAGGCUCUGUGGUCAGAUGCUGCCCAAAUCCCUGCCCCCGCCUCUCAGUUGCCCUGGUACCACCCUCCUCAGUGUCUGAAGGACAGGAUACAUCCUACUCAGUCAGAAUGCAUAGAGGUACCACGGUGUUUUGGGAUGCAGUCCUCCAGAGCAAAGCAGCGGCCAUUCUCCACAGGUGUCUGCGCCUGCGUGCAAGCAACCAUCUCUGUAGGGUCUGUUGACUAAGGAUGCUUCCUCAUAGAAGAAGCGGGUUGAGAAGCUCUUUCGAUGCUCACCUGAAGUUCCA